GAAUGCUGACAUAAGUAACGAUAAAGCGGGUGAAAAGCCCGCUCGCCGGAAGACCAAGGGUUCCUGUCCAACGUUAAUCGGGGCAGGGUGAGUCGACCCCUAAGGCGAGGCCGAAAGGCGUAGUCGAUGGGAAACGGGUUAAUAUUCCCGUACUUGGUGUUACUGCGAAGGGGGGACGGAGAAGGCUAUGUUGGCCGGGCGACGGUUGUCCCGGUUUAAGCGUGUAGGUGUGUGUUCCAGGUAAAUCCGGUUCACUUUAACACUGAGGCGUGACGACGAGGCACUACGGUGCUGAAGCAACAAAUGCCCUGCUUCCAGGAAAAGCCUCUAAGCAUCAGGUAACAUCAAAUCGUACCCCAAACCGACACAGGUGGUCAGGUAGAGAAUACCAAGGCGCUUGAGAGAACUCGGGUGAAGGAACUAGGCAAAAUGGUGCCGUAACUUCGGGAGAAGGCACGCUGACACGUAGGUGAAGUGAUUUACUCAUGGAGCUGAAGUCAGUCGAAGAUACCAGCUGGCUGCAACUGUUUAUUAAAAACACAGCACUGUGCAAACACGAAAGUGGACGUAUACGGUGUGACGCCUGCCCGGUGCCGGAAGGUUAAUUGAUGGGGUCAGCGCAAGCGAAGCUCCUGAUCGAAGCCCCGGUAAACGGCGGCCGUAACUAUAACGGUCCUAAGGUAGCGAAAUUCCUUGUCGGGUAAGUUCCGACCUGCACGAAUGGCGUAAUGAUGGCCAGGCUGUCUCCACCCGAGACUCAGUGAAAUUGAACUCGCUGUGAAGAUGCAGUGUACCCGCGGCAAGACGGAAAGACCCCGUGAACCUUUACUAUAGCUUGACACUGAACAUUGAGCCUUGAUGUGUAGGAUAGGUGGGAGGCUUUGAAGUGUGGACGCCAGUCUGCAUGGAGCCGACCUUGAAAUACCACCCUUUAAUGUUUGAUGUUCUAACGUGGACCCGUUACCCGGGUUGCGGACAGUGUCUGGUGGGUAGUUUGACUGGGGCGGUCUCCUCCUAAAGAGUAACGGAGGAGCACGAAGGUUGGCUAAUCCUGGUCGGACAUCAGGAGGUUAGUGCAAUGGCAUAAGCCAGCUUGACUGCGAGCGUGACGGCGCGAGCAGGUGCGAAAGCAGGUCAUAGUGAUCCGGUGGUUCUGAAUGGAAGGGCCAUCGCUCAACGGAUAAAAGGUACUCCGGGGAUAACAGGCUGAUACCGCCCAAGAGUUCAUAUCGACGGCGGUGUUUGGCACCUCGAUGUCGGCUCAUCACAUCCUGGGGCUGAAGUAGGUCCCAAGGGUAUGGCUGUUCGCCAUUUAAAGUGGUACGCGAGCUGGGUUUAGAACGUCGUGAGACAGUUCGGUCCCUAUCUGCCGUGGGCGCUGGAGAACUGAGGGGGGCUGCUCCUAGUACGAGAGGACCGGAGUGGACGCAUCACUGGUGUUCGGGUUGUCAUGCCAAUGGCACUGCCCGGUAGCUAAAUGCGGAAGAGAUAAGUGCUGAAAGCAUCUAAGCACGAAACUUGCCCCGAGAUGAGUUCUCCCUGAGACUUAGAGUCUCCUGAAGGAACGUUGAAGACGACGAC
rnacentral:rRNA from 2 species